rnacentral:rRNA from 1 species
UACGGGGGGGGCAAGCGUUGUUCGGAAUUACUGGGCGUAAAGGGCUCGUAGGUGGCCAACUAAGUCAGACGUGAAAUCCCUCGGCUUAACCGGGGAACUGCGUCUGAUACUGGAUGGCUUGAGGUUGGGAGAGGGAUGCGGAAUUCCUGGUGUAGCGGGUGGAAUGCGCAGAUAUCAGGAGGAACACCGGUGGCGAAGGCGGGG